rnacentral:ncRNA from 1 species
AAAUUUCAAAGGCAAACCCGCCGAAAGACGGGGACGCAAAGCCACGGGUCUAAGGUCUUCUGACUAUGACAGCCGGUUGCCGCA